rnacentral:rRNA from 1 species
AUUGAACGCUGGCGGCAGGCUUAACACAUGCAAGUCGAGCGGAGCGAGGGUGCUUGCACCUUAGCUUAGCGGCGGACGGGUGAGUAAUGCUUAGGAAUCUGCCUAUUAGUGGGGGACAACAUCUCGAAAGGGAUGCUAAUACCGCAUACGUCCUACGGGAGAAAGCAGGGGAUCACUUGUGACCUUGCGCUAAUAGAUGAGCUUAAGUCGGAUUAGCUAGUUGGUGGGGUAAAGGCCUACCAAGGCGACGAUCUGUAGCGGGUGUGAGAGGAUGAACCGACACACUGGUACUGAGAACCGGCCCUGACUCCUACGGGAGGGAGCAGUGGGGAACAUUGGACAACGCGGGGAACCCUGAUCCCGCCAUGCCGCGUGUGUGAGGAACGCCUUAUGGUUGUAAAGCACUUUAAGCGAGGAGGACGCUCUUUUGGUUAAUCCCCAAGAUGAGUGGACGUUACUCGCAGAAUAAGCACCGGCUAACUCUGUGCCAGCCGCCGCCGUAACAC